rnacentral:rRNA from 1 species
GACGAACGCUGGCGGCGUGCCUAAUACAUGCAAGUUGAGCGCUGAAGGUUGGUACUUGUACCAACUGGAUUAGCAGCGAACGGGUGAGUAACGCGUGGGGAAUCUGCCUUUGAGCGUGGGACAACAUUUGGAAACGAAUGCUAAUACCGCAUAAAAACUUUAAACACAAGUUUUAAGUUUGAAAGAUGCAAUUGCUUCACUCAAAGAUGAUCCCGCGUUGUAUUGGCUGGUUGGUGAGGUAAAGGCUACACAAGGCGAUGAUACAUAGCCGAACUGAGAGGGUGAUCGGCCAAAUGGGGAAUGAGAAAAGGCCCAAACGCCUACGGGAGGGAGCAGUAGGGAAUCUUCGGCAAUGGACGAAAGUCUGACCGAGCAACGCCGGGUGAGUGAAGAAGGUUUUCGGAUCGUAAAACUCUGUUGGUAGAGAAGAAAGAUGGUGAGAGUGGAAAGAUCAUCAAGUGACGGUAACUACCCAGAAAGGGACGGCUAACUACGUG